rnacentral:rRNA from 1 species
AGAGUUUGAUCCUGGCUCAGGAUGAACGCUAGCGGUAUGCUUAACACAUGCAAGUCGUACGGGAGUUUUUAACUCAAGUGGCGGACGGGUGAGUAACACGUGAGAAUUUACCUUUAGGAGGGGGAUAACAAUUGGAAACGAUUGCUAAUACCCCAUAUGCUUUUUUAAGUGAAACGGAUUUAUUCGCCUAAAGAAAAGCUCGCGGCUGAUUAGCUAGUUGGUAAGGUAAUGGCUUACCAAGGCGACGAUCAGUAUCUGGUUUGAGAGGAUGAUCAGACACACUGGAACUGAGACACGGUCCAGACUCCUACGGGAGGCAGCAGUGGGGAAUUUUCCGCAAUGGGCGAAAGCCUGACGGAGCAAUACCGCGUGAGGGAAGAAAGCCUACUGGGUUGUAAACCUCUUUUUUCAGGGAGGAAAAAAAUGACGUGUACCUGAAGAAUAAGCAUCGGCUAACUCCGUGCCAGCAGCCGCGGUAAGACGGAGGAUGCAAGUGUUAUCCGGAAUUACUGGGCGUAAAGCGUCUGUAGGUGGUUUAAUAAGUCAACUGUUAAAUCUUGAGGCUUAACUUCAAAACAGCAGUCGAAACUAUUAGACUAGAGUAUAGUAGGGGUAAAGGGAAUUUCCAGUGGAGCGGUGAAAUGCGUAGAUAUUGGAAAGAACACCGAUGGCGAAAGCACUUUACUGGGCUAUUACUAACACUCAGAGACGAAAGC